rnacentral:rRNA from 1 species
GAUGAACGCUGGCGGCGUGCCUAAUACAUGCAAGUAGAACGCUGAAGGAGGAGCUUGCUCUUCUGGAUGAGUUGCGAACGGGUGAGUAACGCGUAGGUAACCUGCCUGGCAGCGGGGGAUAACUAUUGGAAACGAUAGCUAAUACCGCAUGACAACAGUUAUUGCAUGAUAACUGUUUAAAAGGGGCAACUGCUCCACUACCAGAUGGACCUGCGUUGUAUUAGCUAGUUGGUGAGGUAACGGCUCACCAAGGCGACGAUACAUAGCCGACCUGAGAGGGUGAUCGGCCACCCUGGGACUGAGAAACGGCCCAGACUCCUACGGGAGGGAGCAGUAGGGAAUCUUCGGCAAUGGACGGAAGUCUGACCGAGCAACGCCGCGUGAGUGAAGAAGGUUUUCGGAUCGGAAAGCUCUGUUGUAAGAGAAGAACGAGUGUGAGAGUGGAAAGUUCACACUGUGACGGUAUCUUACCAGAAAGGGACGGCUAACUACGUG